UACAGAGGUCCCGAGCGUUGUUCGGAUUCAUUGGGCGUAAAGGGUGCGUAGGUGGCGCUGUAAGUGGGGUGUGAAAUCCCGGGGCUUAACCCCGGGACUGCAUUCCAUACUGCGGUGCUUGAGGACUGGAGAGGAGACUGGAAUUUACGGUGUAGCAGUGAAAUGCGUAGAGAUGUGGAGGAACACCGAUGGCGAAGGCAGCCUCCUGGGCCAGCACUGACGCUCAUGCACGAAAGCGUGGGGAGCAAACAGG
rnacentral:rRNA from 1 species